UGAUGCAGUCACUGAUGAGUCUAGCUCCACAGAAGGCAGUGAUAGCAGAGACUGGAGAAGAAGUUGAAGUUGAUGAGCUCAAAAUCAACACUGUCAUAGCUGUCAAAGCUGGUGAAACCAUACCUAUUGAUGGAGUUGUUGUGGAUGGAAACUGUGAGGUUGAUGAGAAAACCUUGACUGGUGAAGCAUUCCCUGUGCCUAAACUGAGAGAUUCAACUGUUUGGGCUGGAACCAUCAAUCUAAAUGGUUACAUAACUGUGAAAACCACUGCUCUAGCUGAGGAUUGUGUGGUUGCUAAGAUGGCAAAGCUAGUGGAAGAAUCUCAGAACAGCAAAACAGAAACUCAGAGAUUUAUAGAUGAAUGUUCUAAGUACUAUACUCCAGGUUAGUAAGCAAAUCAGAAACUGAUUUCAAGUUCUUGAUGUUCUUGAUUGAGACCUCAUAUUCUCUUGCCUUGCAUGCAGCGAUCAUCCUCAUAUCGCUCUGUUUUGUGGUUAUCCCAUUCGCAUUAAAGGUUCACAACAUGAAACAUUGGCUGCACUUGGCCCUAGUUGUGCUAGUAAGUGCUUGUCCUUGUGGCCUUAUUCUCUCAACACCAGUAGCCAGUUUCUGUGCCCUCACUAAAGCAGCAACAUCAGGACUUCUGAUCAAAGAAGCUGAUUAUCUUGAGACCUUAGCCAAGAUCAAAACCGUUGCUUUUGACAAAACUGGGACCAUCACUAGAGGCGAGUUCAUAGUCAUGGAUUUCAAGUCACUCUCCAGAGAUAUAAGCCUGCACAGGUUGCUUUACUGGUGAGAAACAUCUAAUUCUCAUCUUUCAACCACUUUUCUUAACACUUUGUUUUAUUAAAACUUAUUUAGAACAUAUUACAUCGUUGGCAAGUAAGACAUAACGAAAAUGAAACACUAAUGGUCUUUUCCACACCUGGAGACCACCGAGGACAAACAUUAUUAUGACACGUUAGCGAUACCAAACUGAUCUUGUUUCAAAAUAAAUUAGAGUAGAUGUUCCCAGUCCAACAAUAUCAGACGGACUUUUAAUACUUUUAUCGGACACAUGACAAUAAUUCUCAUAGUCUAGAUAGAUCUUCUUCUUCAGUUGCCUAGAUAUUUUAACCACUUUAGUGAGAUACUUUGUGAAUUUUCCUGAGAGUUUUGGAAUGUGACUUCUGUUAGGGUAUCAAGCGUGGAGAGCAAGUCAAGCCAUCCAAUGGCUGCUGCACUUCUGGACUAUGCAAAAUCUGUCUCUGUUGAACCUAAGCCUGAAUCUGUUGAAGACUACCAAAACUUUCCAGGAGAAGGCAUUUUUGGGAAGAUUGAUGGCAAAGAAGUCUAUAUUGGGAACAAAAGAAUUGCUUCCAGAGCUGGGUGUUCAUCAGGUAAUGCGAUGUUUUAGAUCAUUGAGGUUUUGGGUUCUUGUUUACUCUCUAAAGGUUUUUGGUUUUGGUGUAUGUGCACAGUUCCAGAUAUAGAUGUUGAUACUAAAGGAGGAAAGACGGUUGGAUACGUCUAUCUUGGAGAGACACUAGCCGGAGUUUUCAACCUCUCGGAUGCUUGUAGAUCAGGUGUAGCUCAAGCGAUGAAAGAACUCAAAUCUAUGGGAAUCAAAACUGCAAUGUUAACCGGAGAUAACCAAGCUUCAGCAAUGCAUGCUAAAGAACAGCUAGGUAACGUUAUGGACGUUGUUCAUGCGGAGCUUCUCCCUGAAGGCAAGUCCCAAAUCAUCAAAGAGUUUAAGAGAGAAGGUCCAACGGCUAUGGUGGGAGACGGUUUGAAUGACGCACCAGCUUUGGCAACAGCUGACAUUGGCAUCUCGAUGGGUGUUUCCGGCUCUGCGCUUGCUACAGAGACCGGUCACAUAAUCUUGAUGUCUAAUGACAUCAGGAGGAUACCGCAAGCGAUAAGGCUUGCGCGUAGGGGUAAAAGAAAAGUGGUGGAGAAUGUGGUUUUGUCUAUUACUAUGAAAGGAGCGAUUCUUGCUUUGGCUUUUGCUGGUCAUCCUUUGAUUUGGGCGGCUGUGCUUGCGGACGUGGGGACUUGUUUGCUUGUGAUCCUUAAUAGCAUGUUGUUGCUUCGAGAUGAGCACGUUCCUGGAGGGAAAUGUCAUAGGGCGGAGAAAGGUGAAGGUGAUGUUGUUGGAGACAUGGAAGCAGGUUUGUUACCGAAGCAUUGCAAGUCAGGCUGUUGUGGAAAGGAGAAGCAAGAGGUAGUGAUGAAACCGGCUAAAACUAGUUCGGGACAUGGGCACUCUGGUUGUUGUGACAAGAAACAUAAAGAUGAUGUGAUGAUUGUGAGAAAGAGCUGUGAAUCAAGGUGUUGUGGUGACAAGAUUCAGCAGCAACCAAACCAAGACGAGGUGAAACAGAGCUGUCACAACAAGGCUGGUGAGUUGAAGGAGAUAAGGCUGGACCUUGGUGAUAGUGAUUGCAAGUCGGGUUCACCAUUGGUCAAAGGUUGUUGCUCAAGGCCUGAUGCUGAUCCCGUGGUAGCUAGCUUGAAAGUGAAGAGUGAUGGGAGCUGCAGUGAAAGUUCAAGGAAAGGUAAUAACGAAGAGGCAUGUUGUGAGGUGAAAACGGCGUUCCGUUGGCUUGCCGUUGCAGCCGUCGUCGCCGGAAUAUAUCCAAUACUAGCUAAAUCUGUAGCAUCCAUUGCAAGGGCUAGAAUCGACAUCAACAUUCUUGUUGUAAUAACCGGUAAUGUUUUAGCUUCUUUUUUUUUUAAGCUUUUCUUUGCUUCUUUUCUGCUUAGUUAUUUACCCUAAAUUAAGAAGUGCUAUGAUUUAUGAGGAGUGAGUCUCCAAUUUUCUUAUAUGCGAAUCACAAUUCUUACAACAUUAACUAAGGUGAAUAUUUUUUAAAAAAAUGGUUAUAGUAGAUGGUGAAUAUUUUCUUGUGAUUUCAAAGUAGCAUUAAAAAGGCCAAAUGCAGAGGAAAAGAAACACAAAAACUACCGAACAAAACUGCUAUAUGUUGAUCAUUAUAUUCUAAACUGACCCAUCAUAAUGUUAUAUAGACACAUACUUAUAUCUACCAUCUACUAUAACCUCUGUUGAUCAAAAAGGUUAUAGUAGAUGGUAGAUAUAAGUAUGGGUCUAUAUAACAUUGUGAUGGGUCAAUUUAGAAUAUAAUGGUCAACAUAUAGAAGUUCUGUUCGGUAGUUUUUGUGUUUCUUUUCCUCUGCAUUUGGCAUUUUUAAUGGUACUUUGAAAUCACAAGAAAAGAAGAAAAGAAAAAGAAAAAAUGAAAGCUGCUUUCUUGCAACUUUUGUUUUUCGCUAAAACCAUUUUUAAAAUAUAGUUUCUUCUAUUUCUAAAAAGGCAUAAUGGACGUUAGAUUAGCAAUAAUUGCUCAUUCUGAAGCUAAAAUGUUUAAAAGUCAAAUAAUUACUCAAAAUAUGAAUUUAAGGCUUUAAAGCUAAUAAUACUCUUCUUUGUAUCAAACAGUGGGAGCAACACUCGGUAUGAGAGAUUACACAGAAGCUGCAGCAGUUGUCUUCUUAUUCACAAUAGCUGAAUGGCUCCAGUCUAGGGCUAGCUAUAGGGUGUUUGCUUCCACCAUUUUCCUUUUCUUGUCAUGCAAGUUUCCAAAAAUACUGUGAUUGAUUGAUUCAAGCAUUGGUUUUACUGUAAAUAAAAUUUCCAGGCAAGCGCGGUGAUGCAGUCACUGAUGAGUCUAGCUCCACAGAAGGCAGUGAUAGCAGAGACUGGAGAAGAAGUUGAAGUUGAUGAGCUCAAAAUCAACACUGUCAUAGCUGUCAAAGCUGGUGAAACCAUACCUAUUGAUGGAGUUGUUGUGGAUGGAAACUGUGAGGUUGAUGAGAAAACCUUGACUGGUGAAGCAUUCCCUGUGCCUAAACUGAGAGAUUCAACUGUUUGGGCUGGAACCAUCAA
rnacentral:lncRNA from 1 species